ensembl:lncRNA
GUAUAAAUAAUAUUAUAAGAAUAAUAAUUUAUAAAAGUAAUUUUUCUCAUUUUAAAAUGUCAGAUUUUUUGUUUUAACAAAUUUCUACAUUUAUGAUUUAAUUUUUAUCUAAACAUUAUUUAUAAAUACCCUAUUAUUAUAUUUUUUUCUUUCAUGUGUGUGUAUGAAGUUAAAUCAACGUUUAGAAGUACACUAUCCUCAAAAGCUAAUAUUAGUUGGACUAAAAGCCAGAAAACUUGAAACCCUCUUUGAUUAGUAGGUUCUGCUGGUCCUGGGUUGCUUUGUGCCCAUGGGAGGUACUGUCCAGCAGGCACACUCAGUGAAAUCUUAUGCCCACAAGGGACCUUCACCCCACAUCAGGGGGCACUGAGUAAGAUUUCAUUCCUAAAACCAUCAUGGUCAUUAAAGGACAAUCAUAUAAAUCUACCAUUGUGUUGAUAUUUGUGUCUAUUUUCAUCGUAGGUGUAAAGGACUGUUUAAAGUGUCCACCAGGCUUCUAUUGUGCAGAAGGAACCAGUGACCCAAUGCCUUGUCAACCAGGCACCUUUAACCCUGGAGCUGGCAGACUGCAGGCCUUGUGACCCGGGCAAAGCAUGCACACAAGUUGCACUAAAGUUUCCUGAUGUGGAUUUUAUGCCUUUUGCACAUGAGAAGUUUUUUUUUAAACCAUCAGACUGGUCCAUUUAGUUGGUUUUAGAAGUUUGGGCAUUUGACAAUCUAGCUGAAGUCACAAUACAUCCAUUUUCUAACCAAUAAUUGUAUUUUUUUGUUUGUUUUUUUCAGGUUUGUGUGUCCACCAGGUUCUGCCCGACCAAAUGACCCAUCCAACGCUUGCCCUCCCGGUACCUUUAGUAACCGUACAGACCUCACUGACCUCUCCCAGUGCCAGCAGUGUCCCACACAUUAUGCCUGUCUUCGAGGUGUCAUACUACCUUCAGAGUUGAAUGCCAUGUACUUACUUGUAUUCAAUUACUAUUUAACAAUUUCUGCUUUUACAGGCACUGGUGGCAUCCAGAGGCCUCCACUUCUUUGCUUUCCUGGGCAUUACUGUCCUGUGGGCACUAUGUUUCCCACUCAGCACAAGUGUCCAGCUGGUACCUGGAGCGAUCGCAGUGGACAGGAGUCAGAGCGUGAGUGCCAGCCGUGCCCGAGAGGCUGGUACUGUUUAGCAGGAGUGGGCGCUCCCUCUGGGAGAUACAACUCUGGACACUACUGUCCUGAAGGUAUGUCAUAUGGCUCACCUGUAGAUGAAAGACUAAAGCCAGGUAAGACUUCAGUGGAUUUUACUUUUCCGAUGUGUCCAGGGCAACAUUUUGUCAGCUAAAGUGGGGCCGGAGAGCAGAGGAUUGUUCUGUGUGUCCUGCUGGCUACUUCUGUCCUCAUCCGGCCACAAUCAAUCCAAAAGUUUGUGGAACAGGAAGUUAUUCUGUAAACCGGAUAGCUAAUUCUAUUCUAAUGCAUGUUGUACCAUUGUAAUAAAUUAUUUCACCAUUUCA